UACGUAGGGUGCAAGCGUUGUCCGGAAUUAUUGGGCGUAAAGAGCUCGUAGGCGGUUUGUCGCGUCUGCUGUGAAAACCCGAGGCUCAACCUCGGGCCUGCAGUGGGUACGGGCAGACUAGAGUGCGGUAGGGGAGAUUGGAAUUCCUGGUGUAGCGGUGGAAUGCGCAGAUAUCAGGAGGAACACCAAUGGCGAAGGCAGAUCUAUGGGCCGUAACUGACGCUGAGGAGCGAAAGCAUGGGGAGCGAACAGG
rnacentral:rRNA from 1 species